rnacentral:rRNA from 1 species
UGCCCAGCUUGCUGGGCGGAUUAGUGGCGAACGGGUGAGUAAUACGUGAGUAACCUGCCCUUGACUCUGGGAUAAGCCUGGGAAACUGGGUCUAAUACUGGAUACUACGUCCCAUCGCAUGGUGGGGGGUGGAAAGGGUUUUACUGGUUUUGGAUGGGCUCACGGCCUAUCAGCUUGUUGGUGGGGUAAUGGCUCACCAAGGCGACGACGGGUAGCCGGCCUGAGAGGGUGACCGGCCACACUGGGACUGAGACACGGCCCAGACUCCUACGGGAGGCAGCAGUGGGGAAUAUUGCACAAUGGGCGGAAGCCUGAUGCAGCGACGCCGCGUGAGGGAUGACGGCCUUCGGGUUGUAAACCUCUUUCAGUAGGGAAGAAGCGAGAGUGACGGUACCUGCAGAAGAAGCGCCGGCUAACUACGUGCCAGCAGCCGCGGUAAUACGUAGGGCGCAAGCGUUGUCCGGAAUUAUUGGGCGUAAAGAGCUCGUAGGCGGUUUGUCGCGUCUGCUGUGAAAGCCCGGGGCUCAACCCCGGGUCUGCAGUGGGUACGGGCAGACUAGAGUGCAGUAGGGGAGACUGGAAUUCCUGGUGUAGCGGUGAAAUGCGCAGAUAUCAGGAGGAACACCGAUGGCGAAGGCAGGUCUCUGGGCUGUUACUGACGCUGAGGAGCGAAAGCAUGGGGAGCGAACAGGAUUAGAUACCCUGGUAGUCCAUGCCGUAAACGUUGGGCACUAGGUGUGGGGGACAUUCCACGUUUUCCGCGCCGUAGCUAACGCAUUAAGUGCCCCGCCUGGGGAGUACGGCCGCAAGGCUAAAACUCAAAGGAAUUGACGGGGGCCCGCACAAGCGGCGGAGCAUGCGGAUUAAUUCGAUGCAACGCGAAGAACCUUACCAAGGCUUGACAUUCACCGGAUCGCCCCAGAGAUGGGGUUUCCCUUCGGGGUCGGUGGACAGGUGGUGCAUGGUUGUCGUCAGCUCGU